GAUGAACGCUGGCGGCGUGCCUAAUACAUGCAAGUCGAGCGAACAGACGAGGAGCUUGCUCCUCUGACGUUAGCGGCGGACGGGUGAGUAACACGUGGAUAACCUACCUAUAAGACUGGGAUAACUUCGGGAAACCGGAGCUAAUACCGGAUAAUAUAUUGAACCGCAUGGUUCAAUAGUGAAAGACGGUUUUGCUGUCACUUAUAGAUGGAUCCGCGCCGCAUUAGCUAGUUGGUAAGGUAACGGCUUACCAAGGCGACGAUGCGUAGCCGACCUGAGAGAGGGGUAGGCCGCCUGAGAACUGAGCCAGGGUACGGGCUACGGCGGGAGGCAGCAGUAUGGAAUGUUCGGCAAUGGGCGGAAGCCUGACGGAGCAACGCCGCGUGAGAGAUGAAAGUCAUCGGAGCGUAAAACUCGGUUAUGAGGGAAGAACAAAUGUGUAAGUAACUAUGCACGUCUUGACGGUACCUAAUCAGAAAGCAACGGCUAACUACGUG
rnacentral:rRNA from 1 species